AUCUAGAUGAGGAGUCCCGAAUAGGAGGAAACGUGCGUUCUGGAU
rfam:Schistosoma mattheei strain Denwood, Zambia genome assembly, scaffold: SMTD_scaffold0000027